AGUGGACGCUGGCGGUAGGCCUAACACAUGCAAGUCGAACGGCAGCACAGGAGAGCUUGCUCUCUGGGUGGCGAGUGGCGGACGGGUGAGGAAUACAUCGGAAUCUGCCCAGUCGUGGGGGAUAACGUAGGGAAACUUACGCUAAUACCGCAUACGACCUUCGGGUGAAAGAGGGGGAUCGCAAGACCUCUCGCGAUUGGAUGAGCCGAUGUCGGAUUAGCUAGUUGGCGGGGUAAUGGCCCACCAAGGCGACGAUCCGUAGCUGGUCUGAGAGGAUGAUCAGCCACACUGGAACUGAGACACGGUCCAGACUCCUACGGGAGGCAGCAGUGGGGAAUAUUGGACAAUGGGCGCAAGCCUGAUCCAGCCAUACCGCGUGGGUGAAGAAGGCCUUCGGGUUGUAAAGCCCUUUUGUUGGGAAAGAAAUCUUUCAGGCUAAUACCCUGGGAGGAUGACGGUACCCAAAGAAUAAGCACCGGCUAACUUCGUG
rnacentral:rRNA from 1 species